rnacentral:misc_RNA from 1 species
UGGCAUUAAAAUAGAACAAAUAUCUGUACAAGUUGUGUAAGCUGAGAGAGAGAGAGAGCAAUGGGUGCUGAAUCAUAAUGCUCUUGUCCUGUAUCACUGUAUCUAUAUUUAACUAAUUGCUGAUACAGAACACACCACAUUUGCACACAUAUACAUAAAAUUUUGUUGUUUUUUUUCUUUUUAUAUGCUUUAUAGUAUACAUAUAUAGACUAUUUUUCUUUACUAAUUAGACUUCAGAUCUCCUUUGGAUAUAUCUGAAACCUGCACUGUGGAAACUGGAUUUGGUCCAAAGGAAAUAAAACAACAACUUCAUGUGGAUAUGGAUUCUGUAGAUUUGAGUUUUACUUCAGUCUUUCUGAAGGGAGUUACUUUAAGAUAUCGAUAAAAAGAUCCGGUUUUUAAUGCUGAGACAGCUUCAAUAUCAAUCUUGUAAACAAGAAGCUUUCUUCUUUCCCUGCAGCUAAUUCUAUAAGCCACAACUACAUGAGCAACAGCCAAUGCUAACGAGCAUACGAACAACGCCAUCUCCAUAACUCGAACAUAUCCUCCUCGAUCCAUACUCGAACUAUGUGCAAACACAUAUGAAGCCUUCAAGGACACAAACACCAAUGAUGAAACAGAACAAAUUGUAGCAAUCCCCAAAUAUGGCCCUCUUGAUAACCUUGGUCCAUCACAUAAGCUAUAAACACAUAGAAUGAUGACGGACCUAACGAUGGAGAUGAGAGGGAUAUCAACAAGUGAAUAUCGAAAAUCAUAGUUGCUUAAGUGAGAAGAAAGAGAUUGAAUUGAAAGUGAAGAUGGUGAAAUUGAAGCAGAUAAUAAAAGUGAAGGAAGAAGUGUAUCUGCAAUUACAAUAAGAAUUGGUGCAGAAAACAGUAGAAGUGAUAUCAACAUAGAAAUCAAGAAAAAAAGAGUUUUGACCCAUCUCAAAACUUUGGUUUUUCUAUCUUCUUUCAAAAACCCCAUCUCGAGAAGAGAGAUUUCUUGAGGUUUUGGUGCAGAGAAAAUGGUGGGAAAAUGGAGAAUUUUGAGAACGAAGGGCAAGUGUUUGAUGAUUUGACUCAGAGAAAAUAUUGAGAAGAUGAAUUGAA